rnacentral:rRNA from 1 species
UACGAAGGGGGCUAGCGUUGCUCGGAAUCACUGGGCGUAAAGCGCACGUAGGCGGCUUUCUAAGUCAGAGGUGAAAUCCUGGAGCUCAACUCCAGAACUGCCUUUGAUACUGGAAAGCUUGAGUUCGGGGAGAGGUGAGUGGAACUGCGAGUGUAGAGGUGAAAUUCGUAGAUAUUCGCAAGAACACCAGUGGCGAAGGCGGCUCACUGGCCCGAUACUGACGCUGAGGUGCGAAAGCGUGGGGAGCAAACAGG